CCUACGGGUGGCAGCAGUGGGGAAUAUUGCGCAAUGGGCGAAAGCCUGACGCAGCGACGCCGCGUGAGGGAUGAAGGUCUUCGGAUCGUAAACCUCUGUCAGCAGGGAAGAACGGUCACUUUGCUAAUCAGCAGUGAAUUGACGGUACCUGCAAAGGAAGCACCGGCUAACUCCGUGCCAGCAGCCGCGGUAAUACGGAGGGUGCGAGCGUUAAUCGGAAUUACUGGGCGGAAAGCGCUCGUAGGCGGUAUGUCAAGUCAAGGGUGAAAUCCCCGCGCUCAACGUGGGAACUGCCUUUGAUAGUGGCAGACUGGAGUGUGUGAGAGGAAGGUGGAAUUCCAGGUGUAGGAGUGAAAUCCGUAGAUAUCUGGAGGAACAUCAGUGGCGAAGGCGACUAUCUGGGACAUAACUGACGCUGAGGAGCGAAAGCGUGGGUAGCAAACAGGAUUAGAUACCCGUGUAGUC
rnacentral:rRNA from 1 species